rnacentral:rRNA from 1 species
UUCCGGUUGAUCCCGCCGGACCCGACUGCUAUCAGAGUGGGACUAAGCCAUGCGAGUCAACGUAGCAAUACGUGGCAUACGGCUCAGUAACACGUAGUCAACAUGCCCAGGGGACGAGGAUAACCUCGGGAAACUGAGGGUAAACCUCGAUAGGCCAUGAUUUCUGGAAUGAUUCUUGGCUCAAACCUAUAUGGCCCCUGGAUUGGACUGCGGCCGAUCAGGCUGUUGGUGAGGUAAUGGCCCACCAAACCUAUUACCGGUACGGGCUCUGAGAGGAGGAGCCCGGAGAUGGGCACUGAGACAAGGGCCCAGGCCCUAUGGGGCGCAGCAGGCGCGAAACCUCUGCAAUAGGCGAAAGCUUGACAGGGUUACUCUGAGUGAUUUCCGCUAAGGGAAUCUUUUGGCACCUCUAAAAAUGGUGCAGAAUAAGGGGUGGGCAAGUCUGGUGUCAGCCGCCGCGGUAAUACCAGCACCCCGAGUGGUCGGGACGAUUAUUGGGCCUAAAGCAUCCGUAGCCGGUCCUGCAAGUCUUCCGUUAAAUCCAGCUGCUCAACAGAUGGGCUGCGGGAGAUACUACAGGGCUAGGAGGCGGGAGAGGCAAGCGGUACUUUAUGGGUAGGGGUAAAAUCCGCUGAUCCAUAGAAGACCACCAGUGGCGAAGGCGGCUUGCCAGAACGCGCUCGACGGUGAGGGAUGAAAGCUGGGGGAGCAAACCGGAUUAGAUACCCGGGUAGUCCCAGCUGUAAACGAUGCAGACUCGGUGAUGGGUUGGCCUCGCGCCUGCCCAGUGCCGCAGGGAAGCCGUUAAGUCUGCAGCCUGGGCAGUACGGUCGCAAGACUGAAACUUAAACUUAAAGGGGGGGAGCA